rnacentral:rRNA from 1 species
AGACCCGAAACCCGGUGAUCUAGCCAUGGGCAGGUUGAAGGUUGGGUAACACUAACUGGAGGACCGAACCGACUAAUGUUGAAAAAUUAGCGGAUGACCUGUGGCUGGGGGUGAAAGGCCAAUCAAACCGGGAGAUAGCUGGUUCUCCCCGAAAGCUAUUUAGGUAGCGCCUCGUGAAUUCAUCUCCGGGGGUAGAGCACUGUUUCGGCUAGGGGGCCAUCCCGGCUUACCAACCCGAUGCAAACUGCGAAUACCGGAGAAUGUUAUCACGGGAGACACACGGCGGGUGCUAACGUCCGUCGUGAAGAGGGAAACAACCCAGACCGCCAGCUAAGGUCCCAAAGUCAUGGUUAAGUGGGAAACGAUGUGGGAAGGCCCAGACAGCCAGGAUGUUGGCUUAGAAGCAGCCAUCAUUUAAAGAAAGCGUAAUAGCUCACUGGUCGAGUCGGCCUGCGCGGAAGAUGUAACGGGGCUAAACCAUGCACCGAAGCUGCGGCAGCGACACUGUGUGUUGUUGGGUAGGGGAGCGUUCUGUAAGCCUGCGAAGGUGGCCUG